GCUUUUAAAGGAUARYAGUUAUCCAUUKGUCUUAGGAAACAAAAAAUUGGUGCAACUCCAAAUAAAA
rnacentral:tRNA from 1 species